rnacentral:rRNA from 1 species
UACGUAGGGUGCAAGCGUUACUCGGAAUUACUGGGCGUAAAGCGUGCGCAGGCGGCUUUGCAAGACAGAUGUGAAAUCCCCGGGCUCAACCUGGGAACUGCAUUUGUGACUGCAAGGCUAGAGUACGGUAGAGGGGGAUGGAAUUCCGCGUGUAGCAGUGAAAUGCGUAGAUAUGCGGAGGAACACCGAUGGCGAAGGCAAUCCCCUGGACCUGUACUGACGCUCAUGCACGAAAGCGUGGGGAGCAAACAGG